rnacentral:rRNA from 1 species
GAUGAACGCUAGCGGGAGGCCUAACACAUGCAAGCCGAGCGGUAUUUGUCCUUCGGGACAGAGAGAGCGGCGUACGGGUGCGGAACACGUGUGCAACCUGCCUUUAUCUGGGGGAUAGCCUUUCGAAAGGAAGAUUAAUACCCCAUAAUAUAUCGAAUGGCAUCAUUCGAUAUUGAAAACUCCGGUGGAUAGAGAUGGGCACGCGCAAGAUUAGAUAGUUGGUGAGGUAACGGCUCACCAAGUCAGUGAUCUUUAGGGGGCCUGAGAGGGUGAUCCCCCACACUGGUACUGAGACACGGACCAGACUCCUACGGGAGGCAGCAGUGAGGAAUAUUGGACAAUGGGUGAGAGCCUGAUCCAGCCAUCCCGCGUGAAGGACUAAGGUCCUAUGGGUUGUAAACUUCUUUUAUACUGGGAUAAACCUACUUACGUGUAAGUAGCUGAAGGUACAGUAUGAAUAAGCACCGGCUAACUCCGUG